rnacentral:rRNA from 1 species
GUAGGGAAUAUUGCGCAAUGGACGAAAGUCUGACGCAGCGACGCCGCGUGAGUGAUGAAGGCCUUAGGGUCGUAAAGCUCUGUUGAAUGGGAAGAAAAAAAUGACGGUACCAUUCGAGGAAGGACCGGCUAACUUCGUGCCAGCAGCCGCGGUAAUACGAGGGGUCCUAGCGUUGUUCGGAAUCAUUGGGCGGAAAGGGUGUGUAGGUGGCCAUGUAAGUCAGGUGUGAAAGCCCCGGGCUCAACCCGGGAAGUGCACUUGAUACUGCGUGGCUUGAGUACCGAAGAGGGUAGUGGAAUUCCAGGGGUAGUGGUGAAAUACGUAGAUAUCUGGAGGAACACCGGUGGCGAAGGCGGCUACCUGGUCGAGUACUGACACUGAGACACGAAAGCAUGGGGAUCAAACAGGAUUAGAUACCCUGGUAGUCC